AAGCUCGUAGUUGAAUUUCGGGAUCAAUUUGCUGGUCGUGCCUUCGGUACGCACUGGUAUUAUUGGUUUCUCCUUUCUGAUGAAUCGCGAUGUCAUUAAUUUGGUGUCGUGGGGAAUCAGGACCGUUACUUUGAAAAAAUUAGAGUGUUUAAAGCAGGCUCACGCUUGAAUACAUUAGCAUGGAAUAAUGAAAUAGGACGUUUGAUUCUAUUUUGUUGGUUUCUAGGAUCGACGUAAUGAUUAAUAGGGAUAGUUGGG
rnacentral:rRNA from 1 species